UACGUAGGCAGCGAGCGUUGUUCGGAGUUACUGGGCGUAAAGGGUGUGUAGGCGGUUGUUUAAGUUUGGUGUGAAAUCUCCCGGCUCAACUGGGAGGGUGCGCCGAAUACUGAAUGACUUCGAGUGCGGGAGAGGAGAGUGGAAUUCCCGGUGUAGCGGUGAAAUGCGUAGAUAUCAGGAGGAACACCGGUGGCGAAGGCGGGUCUCUGGGCCGAUACUGACGCUGAGGAGCGAAAGCCAGGGGAGCAAACAGG
rnacentral:rRNA from 1 species